rnacentral:misc_RNA from 1 species
AAGUCGUAACAAGGUUUCCGUAGGUGAACCUGCGGAAGGAUCAUUAGUGAUAUAGAAAAUCUAUUUUUCUAGUCAACUAUUACACCCUUUUGUCAACUAUACCAUUGUUGCUUCCACUGGACAGACGUCUGACGUCCUCUGGCUCACUGCAAGGUGAAGCUGGGGAGUGCCGGUGGAAAGAAUUUAAAACUCGUCUUUAGAAAAACUUGUCUGACAAACUUAUUUUUUAAUAAAAUAAAACUUUCAACAACGGAUCUCUAGGCUCUU